AGUGAACGCUGGCGGUAGGCCUAACACAUGCAAGUCGAACGGCAGCACAGUAAGAGCUUGCUCUUACGGGUGGCGAGUGGCGGACGGGUGAGGAAUACAUCGGAAUCUACUUUUUCGUGGGGGAUAACGUAGGGAAACUUACGCUAAUACCGCAUACGACCUACUGGUGAAAGCAGGGGAUCUUCGGACCUUGCGCGAUUGAAUGAGCCGAUGUCGGAUUAGCUAGUUGGCGGGGUAAAGGCCCACCAAGGCGACGAUCCGUAGCUGGUCUGAGAGGAUGAUCAGCGACACUGGAACUGUGACACGGUCCAGACUCCUACGGGAGGCAGCAGUGGGGAAUAUUGGACAAUGGGCGCAAGCCUGAGCCAGCCAUACCGCAUGGGUGAAGAAGGCCUUCGGGUUGUAAAGCCCUUUUGUUGGGAAAGAAAAGCAGCAGGUUAAUACCCCGCUGUUCUGACGGUACCCAAAGAAUAAGCACCGGCUAACUUCGUG
rnacentral:rRNA from 1 species